CCCAUCCUCCUCCUCGUCCUCGUCCUCGGCGCGUCUCCGGCGUGCCACGGCGCCGCUGCGACCCACAACAUCACGGCGAUCCUGGCCGCGCACCCGGACCUCUCCGACUUCAGCGCCGCGCUGGUGAGCACGGGCGCCGCGGCGGAGAUCGACAGCCGCCAAACCAUCACGGUGCUCGCCGUCGACAACGCCGUCAUGGCGCGGCUCAAGGCGCAGAAGCCGGACCCGAAGGAGCUGCAGCGCGUGAUCUACCUCCACGUCCUCCUCGACUACUUCGACGCCGCCAAGCUGGGCAGCAUCCAGGGCGGCUUCGCCCAGGUCACCA
rnacentral:lncRNA from 1 species